rnacentral:rRNA from 1 species
AGAGUUUGAUCAUGGCUCAGGAUGAACGCUAGCUACAGGCUUAACACAUGCAAGUCGAGGGGAAACGACAUCGAAAGCUUGCUUUUGAUGGGCGUCGACCGGCGCACGGGUGAGUAACGCGUAUCCAACCUGCCCACCACUUGGGGAUAACCUUGCGAAAGUAAGACUAAUACCCAAUGAUAUCCCUAGAAGACAUCUGAAAGAGAUUAAAGAUUUAUCGGUGAUGGAUGGGGAUGCGUCUGAUUAGCUUGUUGGCGGGGUAACGGCCACCAAGGCUACGAUCAGUAGGGGUUCUGAGAGGAACGGUCCCCCANAUUGGAACUGAGACACGGUCCAAACUCCGUACGGGAGGCA